rnacentral:rRNA from 1 species
UACAGAGGAGCCAAGCGUUGUCCGGAUUUACUGGGCGUAAAGCGCACGCAGGCGGCAUCGCGCGUGGGGUGUGAAAUCCGGCCGCUUAACGGCCAGGCGCCAUCCCAUACGGCGCGCCUGGAGGGCUGCAGAGGUCGAUGGAAUUGCCGGUGUAGUGGUGAAAUGCGUAGAGAUCGGCAGGAACACCCAGGGGGAAACCAGUCGACUGGGCAGGAGCUGACGCUCAGGUGCGAAAGCGUGGGGAGCGAACCGG